AAUCUGCUCUAUUAUGUGAUUUUUUCUCGUCCCCUUUUAAUUUGCCCUCCAGCAAAUCGCCUCCCCGCAGUUGCAAUGAAGAAAAGAAGAGUCCCCGAGGUCCUAUGGAGGUCGUAUCGAAACCAUGCUCGCACUUUAGCCGACACAAUCCUAUCUUUGCUGCCUCGACCCCCACCUCCGGCCGCCAACUGCUGGUGCAAGGGCUGUGGCUGCCUCGGUUGUGCCGGCGAUGGUGCCAUGUCCUUCCUUCUUAGACCUGACGACCCACCAGACUACCACAAGCUCUUGAAUAGAUGCUUCGUCGUCAUGCCAGACGAUCAGCCGCAGCGUCGCACAGCUUUCUAUCCUGAAUGCCGAUGGUCCCAACAAACGAUGGUCAGAAGAACUAUUGAGAUGAUAAUGUGUGAGUCACACCGAUCUUCAAAUGUGAUAUGCAAUGGGUAUGAUAAGUGCAAUCAUACAAGCUUUGUUCUGGAUCAUCUUACCACUUCAUCAUGGUGUCUUCUUAAAAAAAGGAUUGGGGAUGAUACUAUGUUUCACCUGUUGAAGUAUGCAUCUAUAUUCUUGCCGCAUUCUCGUUCAAAUUACCACCAGGUGGCAGGUUCUCCUAUCAUUGAUUUAGUGAUGAAGAUCCGAAAGCAUAAAUCAGGCUCCCGUAAGAAGAGGAAGAGAGUCAGUGAUGAGGACAAAUAUACAUCUGAUGACAUUAAGUGUUCGGAGCGAUUCAUUGACUCAAAUGUGGAACAUCAAGUAUGUGACAAGUAUACUACAACAAAGACUGGAAAGCGUUUAAGGUCGUCUGGUUCGGAACAUUGUACUCAGAAGUUUAACGGAGUUAAAGAUGAAGACAUAUAUAAAUCUGAUACCAUUAAUUCUUUGCAGCAAUCCAAUAGAUCUCUGACUGUUACGUGCUGCUUUGGUUCUGGUGCCUGUUCUCUUAGUUGUAAUCGUAGGAGCUGUUUCAAAUCAUUUGGAUGGGGGUGUUGUAGAAAGCAGAGCCCCUUGCGUUACCCCGAAGCUCACAUGCUGAACUGUAUAGCUUUGGAAAAUGAUCUUGUGAAAUCAAAUGAGGAACUUAAAGUAGCAAAGAACACUACAACAACUAUGCGGAAGCGUUCAAGGCCUUUUAGUUGGCAACGUCUUAGAAAGCGCAAGCAAUUUACUUCUCUAGAGGACAAAAUGCUGCCUUCUGUAGCCCCCAUUCAUUAUGAGAGAGAUCAGCUGUCUGGAAUUCUUCAACAGAGCUCUGACACCAGUUUAAGUCAUCAAACUGCAAAGGUGGUUUCGCCCCCAGAGCUCGAUGCUCGUCAGAUUACGUCACAGUGCUUUAGUUGUUUGAUGUUGCAAGCACCAAGGAAAGACCCAAAGGGUGCUAAAAUCAACAAGCAACUAAUGUUUUAUAAGUCGGGGUGCUCAUUAUCAUUUCUUCCAAGAAAUCAUAUAUUAAAUAAACUGAAGCCUAAUGAUUCUGGUGCGGUUGUCCUUAUGAUGGAUAUCUUUGGCUUAUCUAAGGGAAGCUUAAGUUCUCAAUCUUUGUCAUGCUUCCAAGGCAGUGGUCGCUGUCUUACUGGUUCUGCAUGCUUGUAUCACUCACUUCUUGGCUUGCUUAAAAGUCUUAUUUGCAAUGCCCGCUCCUGCAAUUACUUGAAGUUCUUGGAUAAGCACUGUCCAAUUCCAUGUUUAGAUCAAAGUACAAAUGGAAAUGUUGGAACAUUUGAGGAUAGCAAGUCGCAAACAAAUUUACUUGAUAAAAGGCACAUGGGGUUUCAGCCAAAAAGCAGUCUUUUGGAGGGUCUUGAAUGCCAUGUCAAUAGACAGCAAGAGAAGUAUCUUAAUGGAACUCCAGAUGUCUUUGAUUAUCAAGUUGAGAUAAAUGGACAAUACUGUCAGAAAGAUCAAGUUGUCUCUUUUUUGUGGUCAACUUGUAGGAAUAUAGUUCCUCCAGAUUUGCUUGGAGCUCCUUCUAUUUGGAGAGCGCUAAGGAGAAACAUUUCAAAGUUUGUUUGCUUACGAAGGUUUGAAAGUUUUUUUUUGAGGCAAUGUAUGCAUGGAUUGAAGACGGCAAGUUUCCCAUUUCUAUCGAAGAAGAUGUUUUUGUGCUUCUUUAGUAAUGGUAUUGGAAAAGAUGGGUUAGGAAGGCGUGGAAACAUUUGUAAGGGAGGCAACAGAUUAAGUGAUGUGAAAGGUAUUCUUAAAAAUAAGCUUUUGGGAAGCUGGAUAUAUUGGUUCUUUAAUUGUCUAGUUGUGCCCAUAAUAUAUGCCAACUUCUAUGUUACUGAAAGUGAGCAGGGGAAACAAGAAAUUUUUUAUUAUCGGAAGCCAAUUUGGGAGAAAGUGACUCAUACAGCCAUUGAUUUAUUUGAAAAACGAAGCUACCAUUUGUUGGACAAUGCAUCUUUAAGAAAUAUACUUAGUAAAAGAGCAUUUGGUUUUUCAAAAGUUAGAUUUUGUCCAAAAGAACAUGGAGUUAGGGUCCUAGCAAAUCUAAAGGCACCAUCAAAGGUACAUCUACAAGGUUCUUUGCAGAAUAAAUAUCAUGAAAUGCAGAAAAAAGUGGAUAUUCAUUCAAAGCUGGAGAAGUUUGUUUGUUUCAAGUCUGUGAAUUAUGCCCUUCGUGAUUUACAUGUCGUUCUAAAAGGAAUAAAAAUGAAAUGUCCAGAGAAGUUGGGUUCGUCGGUAUUUGACUAUAGUGGAGUCUACAGAAAGCUUUGUCCGUUUCUUAUUGAUUUGAAAAAUGGAUCAGGUAGCUUGCCCAGACUAUUUGUUGUCAUUUGUGACGUUUCUAAGGCAUUUGAUUCUGUUGAUCAAGAUAAAUUACUCACCGUAAUGAAGGACGUCAUUUUUAGUGAUGAAUAUAUUGUAGAUCAGUAUGCUCAGGUUUUCUGUGGAAAGAAGUCUUUACAGUUCCGUUGUAACCAAAUUUUGUCAGAUAAAAAUAUCAGCAGUUCUGUUUCGAAUUUUACUACUCCCUCUUUCUUUUCAAAUCCAUUGCAGAGUGUCCUUAUUAAUCAGGUCAGUAGCAGAAAUAUAAGAAAGGAGGAGCUUUGUCAUAAUCUUGAAGAGCAUGUGAAGAGCAAUGUGCUGCAAAUUGGUCAGAAAUUCUACUUGCAAGAAAUUGGUAUACCUCAGGGAAGCAUUUUGUCUUCUCUUCUUUGCUCGUAUUAUUACGGCCAUAUGGAGAGGAAUGUUUUAUUUCCAUUUCUCAAUAAAAUUCGCGACCCUUGUAUUUUGUAUGCCAAUGACAAUCUGCCAGUAGAGUACAAUGCUGAGAAUGGGAGUAGUAGUGUUCAAGGUGGCAUCAUUUCACAAUACCCCAAGCAUUUGCUUCUCAGGUUUAUUGAUGACUUCUUUUUCAUAUCAACCUCAAAGAAGAAAGCGACUGGCUUCUUUUCCAGGUUGAAACGAGGAUUUUGUGAGUACAACUGCUCCAUGAAUGAAAAGAAAUUCUGUAUGAAUUUUGAUGCUGAUCAUAUUUCAAGGUUUUCAUCAAAAAAGGUGUAUAUCGGUGAAGAUGGUAUAUCAUUUCUUCCUUGGAGUGGUUUGCUUAUUAACUGUCGCACAUUGGAAAUCCAGGCAGACUACACAAGGUAUUUGAAUAUCCAUUUGGGCUCAACUCUUACUGUCUACUGGCAAGUUAAACCAGGCCGGCAUUUGAAGGCAAAGCUCUGUGCUUAUAUGCGACCUAAAUGUCAUCCCAUCUUCUAUGACUCAAAUAUUAAUUCUGCAGCUGUUGUCAGAUUGAAUGUUUAUCAAGCUUUUUUACUCUGUGCAAUGAAGUUCCAUUGUUAUGUCUAUGAUUUGUCAAGUAUUUGCAAUCUCCAAGCAGUAUACUACUCGGAAAUUAUUCAAAAGACUUUCAGGUAUGUGCACAAGCUCAUAUGGAGAACCAUGCACUCUAUUAGUCUAGGAUCAAAUUUCCAUCCUAUUCUUCAUUUGGAGAAAGAAGAAGUUGAAUGGCUUGGUUUACAUGCUUAUAUUCGAGUGCUAAACAGAAAACAGUCGAGGCACAGAGAGUUGCUGUCAUUGUUGAGGUCUAAGUUGAUGAUGAAUGUCAUAAUGGAUAGGACAUCAGCUCAACUGAUAUAUGCAAUAGAUGAUUCACAUUCCUCUGUAUUUUGGAAAAUCAAGUAUUAGACCUUCGCUGGCUGUAGUAUAUAUUUUGCAUAGGAACAGUUAUUACAUACGUUGAGAUAUUGGAUGGCUGGCUCUGGAUUCAUACUUGUAAGUUGCAACUCCUUGGCAAAGUUGACUGUGAAUAGAAAAAAUUAUGGCCGUUGACUUGGAUGGAUCUGUAGAGGUUGUUACUAUCUCUCAAAGUCAUUGCGGUCCAAACCUUUACUCUGAGGCAGCCUACCCAAUGUCUAGAUGAAUAUCAGGGUGAACGAAGUCUUUCCCCUUAAAAGUUGGUAUCGGAGCUGAACUCUCUAGCACCAGGGCUGGAUUUUUUUGACGUAUCUCAGGCUUGGAAGCGUAGGGUUAUUUCAGAUAUUUUGUGACCUAUUGGAUUUUGAGAAGGUGACAGAAUGUGGCUUCUGCUCAUAUGGGAUGGAAACUCCUAACUCUUUAAUUUGAACAUUCUCGUUCCUCUGUUAUUUCUCUUUUAAAACUAAGACUCGUUUAAGAAGGCAAUAUAUUCCCUUUCUGAUUGAUCAGAGUGGAAUUAAGAUAUGUGAUACUCCAUCUAAAGCUAGGGUCUUUACUUCUCAUUUAGUGAGAUUUUCACAUCUAACCCUCUUGAUCUUAGUUUUGUGGAGACAUUGUUCGGUCCAGUGAUUUCUUAUGAGGAGAAUGCUACUUUAACCUCUUUAUACCCUGAAGAGGAAAUAAAGAGUGCGGUCCUUGCUAUUGGGGCCUAAGUCUCCUUGGUUAUGAUGGUGUCCUUGCAGUUUUUUACCGGAAGUGUUGGGAGUCUUAUACAGGAUGUUGUCGGGUUUGUAUGGGAUUUUU